GGUUUCGUAGUGAAGUGGUUAUCACGUCGGUCUCACACACCGAAGGUCUCCGGUUCGAACCCGGGCGGAAUCA